GGUUAAGCGACUAAGCGUACACGGUGGAUGCCCUGGCAGUCAGAGGCGAUGAAGGACGUGCUAAUCUGCGAUAAGCGUCGGUAAGGUGAUAUGAACCGUUAUAACCGGCGAUUUCCGAAUGGGGAAACCCAGUGUGUUUCGACACACUAUCAUUAACUGAAUCCAUAGGUUAAUGAGGCGAACCGGGGGAACUGAAACAUCUAAGUACCCCGAGGAAAAGAAAUCAACCGAGAUUCCCCCAGUAGCGGCGAGCGAACGGGGAGGAGCCCAGAGCCUGAAUCAGUGUGUGUGUUAGUGGAAGCGUCUGGAAAGGCGCGCGAUACAGGGUGACAGCCCCGUACACAAAAAUGCACAUGCUGUGAGCUCGAUGAGUAGGGCGGGACACGUGGUAUCCUGUCUGAAUAUGGGGGGACCAUCCUCCAAGGCUAAAUACUCCUGACUGACCGAUAGUGAACCAGUACCGUGAGGGAAAGGCGAAAAGAACCCCGGCGAGGGGAGUGAAAAAGAACCUGAAACCGUGUACGUACAAGCAGUGGGAGCACGCUUAGGCGUGUGACUGCGUACCUUUUGUAUAAUGGGUCAGCGACUUAUAUUCUGUAGCAAGGUUAACCGAAUAGGGGAGCCGAAGGGAAACCGAGUCUUAACUGGGCGUUAAGUUGCAGGGUAUAGACCCGAAACCCGGUGAUCUAGCCAUGGGCAGGUUGAAAGUUGGGUAACACUAACUGGAGGACCGAACCGACUAAUGUUGAAAAAUUAGCGGAUGACUUGUGGCUGGGGGUGAAAGGCCAAUCAAACCGGGAGAUAGCUGGUUCUCCCCGAAAGCUAUUUAGGUAGCGCCUCGUGAAUUCAUCUCCGGGGGUAGAGCACUGUUUCGGCAAGGGGGUCAUCCCGACUUACCAACCCGAUGCAAACUGCGAAUACCGGAGAAUGUUAUCACGGGAGACACACGGCGGGUGCUAACGUCCGUCGUGAAGAGGGAAACAACCCAGACCGCCAGCUAAGGUCCCAAAGUCAUGGUUAAGUGGGAAACGAUGUGGGAAGGCCCAGACAGCCAGGAUGUUGGCUUAGAAGCAGCCAUCAUUUAAAGAAAGCGUAAUAGCUCACUGGUCGAGUCGGCCUGCGCGGAAGAUGUAACGGGGCUAAACCAUGCACCGAAGCUGCGGCAGCGACGCUGAUGCGUUGUUGGGUAGGGGAGCGUUCUGUAAGCCUGUGAAGGUGUGCUGUGAGGCAUGCUGGAGGUAUCAGAAGUGCGAAUGCUGACAUAAGUAACGAUAAAGCGGGUGAAAAGCCCGCUCGCCGGAAGACCAAGGGUUCCUGUCCAACGUUAAUCGGGGCAGGGUGAGUCGACCCCUAAGGCGAGGCCGAAAGGCGUAGUCGAUGGGAAACAGGUUAAUAUUCCUGUACUUGGUGUUACUGCGAAGGGGGGACGGAGAAGGCUAUGUUGGCCGGGCGACGGUUGUCCCGGUUUAAGCGUGUAGGCUGGUUUUCCAGGCAAAUCCGGAAAACUAAGGCUGAGGCGUGAUGACGAGGCACUACGGUGCUGAAGCAACAAAUGCCCUGCUUCCAGGAAAAGCCUCUAAGCAUCAGGUAACAUCAAAUCGUACCCCAAACCGACACAGGUGGUCAGGUAGAGAAUACCAAGGCGCUUGAGAGAACUCGGGUGAAGGAACUAGGCAAAAUGGUGCCGUAACUUCGGGAGAAGGCACGCUGAUAUGUAGGUGAAGUCCCUCGCGGAUGGAGCUGAAAUCAGUCGAAGAUACCAGCUGGCUGCAACUGUUUAUUAAAAACACAGCACUGUGCAAACACGAAAGUGGACGUAUACGGUGUGACGCCUGCCCGGUGCCGGAAGGUUAAUUGAUGGGGUCAGCGCAAGCGAAGCUCUUGAUCGAAGCCCCGGUAAACGGCGGCCGUAACUAUAACGGUCCUAAGGUAGCGAAAUUCCUUGUCGGGUAAGUUCCGACCUGCACGAAUGGCGUAAUGAUGGCCAGGCUGUCUCCACCCGAGACUCAGUGAAAUUGAACUCGCUGUGAAGAUGCAGUGUACCCGCGGCAAGACGGAAAGACCCCGUGAACCUUUACUAUAGCUUGACACUGAACAUUGAGCCUUGAUGUGUAGGAUAGGUGGGAGGCUUUGAAGUGUGGACGCCAGUCUGCAUGGAGCCGACCUUGAAAUACCACCCUUUAAUGUUUGAUGUUCUAACGUUGACCCGUAAUCCGGGUUGCGGACAGUGUCUGGUGGGUAGUUUGACUGGGGCGGUCUCCUCCUAAAGAGUAACGGAGGAGCACGAAGGUUGGCUAAUCCUGGUCGGACAUCAGGAGGUUAGUGCAAUGGCAUAAGCCAGCUUGACUGCGAGCGUGACGGCGCGAGCAGGUGCGAAAGCAGGUCAUAGUGAUCCGGUGGUUCUGAAUGGAAGGGCCAUCGCUCAACGGAUAAAAGGUACUCCGGGGAUAACAGGCUGAUACCGCCCAAGAGUUCAUAUCGACGGCGGUGUUUGGCACCUCGAUGUCGGCUCAUCACAUCCUGGGGCUGAAGUAGGUCCCAAGGGUAUGGCUGUUCGCCAUUUUAAAGUGGUACGCGAGCUGGGUUUAGAACGUCGUGAGACAGUUCGGUCCCUAUCUGCCGUGGGCGCUGGAGAACUGAGGGGGGCUGCUCCUAGUACGAGAGGACCGGAGUGGACGCAUCACUGGUGUUCGGGUUGUCAUGCCAAUGGCACUGCCCGGUAGCUAAAUGCGGAAGAGAUAAGUGCUGAAAGCAUCUAAGCACGAAACUUGCCCCGAGAUGAGUUCUCCCUGACUCCUUGAGAGUCCUGAAGGAACGUUGAAGACGACGACGUUGAUAGGCCGGGUGUGUAAGCGCAGCGAUGCGUUGAGCUAACCGGUACUAAUGAACCGUGAGGCUUAACCUU
rnacentral:rRNA from 1 species